UUGGUUGCAGAUGGAAUGGCUUCAGAUCCCAGCUCUGCCAUUUACUGUGCAAUUUGGGGCAAGUCCCUGGCUUCUCUAGGCUUCACCUGUGAAAUGGGGAUUCAGGACUCUUGUCUCCGGCGUUUCUCAUGGUUAGAAACAUCAGUGCACUCUUUUCCUCCCCGGCUGGCUGAGGAUCGUCUCCAUCAUGAAUGACACCGUACCUCUCCGGAUCAGGAAGUUCCGGCCAACCAACUACUUCAGUGGAAACACGGUCGCUGAUGUGCUUCACCCUGGAAGGGCAACAGUGUCCGAGACAGACAUUUGGGGAAAAGUAGCCAAAAUCUACAAGACCACACGAGACGUCAUCUUUAUACUUGGAGUCAGAACCCAUUUUGGUGGUGACAAGACAACUGGCUUGGGCGUGAUUUACGAUUCCUUGGGUUAUGCAAGGAAAAGUAAACCAACACAACCCUGCAAGACAUGGCCUGCCUGAGAAGAAAAAGAACUCAAGGAAGCAGCGUAAGAAAUGCGAGAACAGAAUGAGGGAGGUCGGCGGACCACAAGGACCAGUGUUGCUGCCGGCAAAAGGAAGAAGUAAAGAUUCUGCAGUGACUUUAUCUGUGGUGAUUUUGCCUAUAUUUCAUGAGAGGAUUAAUAAACUGUGAAAAAA